rnacentral:ncRNA from 1 species
AUAUUGCACAAUGGGCGCAAGCCUGAUGCAGCGACGCCGCGUGGGGGAUGACGGCCUUCGGGUUGUAAACUCCUUUCGCUAGGGACGAAGCUUUUUGUGACGGUACCUAGAUAAGAAGCACCGGCUAACUACGUGCCAGCAGCCGCGGUAAUACGUAGGGUGCGAGCGUUGUCCGGAAUUACUGGGCGUAAAGGGCUCGUAGGUGGUUUGUCGCGUCGUCUGUGAAAUUCCGGGGCUUAACUCCGGGCGUGCAGGCGAUACGGGCAUAACUUGAGUACUGUAGGGGUAACUGGAAUUCCUGGUGUAGCGGUGAAAUGCGCAGAUAUCAGGAGGAACACCGAUGGCGAAGGCAGGUUACUGGGCAGUUACUGACGCUGAGGAGCGAAAGCAUGGGUAGCGAACAGGAUUAGAUACCCUGGUAGUCCAUGCCGUAAACGGUGGGCGCUAGGUGUGAGGGUCUUUUCACGACUUUCGUGCCGUAGCUAACGCAUUAAGCGCCCCGCCUGGGGAGUACGGCCGCAAGGCUAAAACUCAAAGGAAUUGACGGGGGCCCGCACAAGCGGCGGAGCAUGUGGAUUAAUUCGAUGCAACGCGAAGAACCUUACCUGGGCUUGACAUACACCGGAUCGGGCUAGAGAUAGUCUUUCCCUUUGUGGCUGGUGUACAGGUGGUGCAUGGUUGUCGUCAGCUCGUGUCGUGAGAUGUUGGGUUAAGUCCCGCAACGAGCGCAACCCUUGUCUUAUGUUGCCAGCAUUUGGUUGGGGACUCAUGAGAGACUGCCGGGGUCAACUCGGAGGAAGGUGGGGAUGACGUCAAAUCAUCAUGCCCCUUAUGUCCAGGGCUUCACACAUGCUACAAUGGUCGGUACAACGCGCAGCGACACUGUGAGGUGGAGCGAAUCGCUGAAAGCCGGCCUUAGUUCGGAUUGGGGUCUGCAACUCGACCCCAUGAAGUCGGAGUCGCUAGUAAUCGCAGAUCAGCAACGCUGCGGUGAAUACGUUCCCGGGCCUUGUACACACCGCCCGUCACGUCAUGAAAGUUGGUAACACCCGAAGCCGGUGGCCCAAACUUGUUAGGGAGCCGUCGAAGGUGGGAUCGGCGAUUGGGACGAAGUCGUAACAAGGUACCCGUACCGGAAGGUGCGGGUGGAUCACCUCCUUU